CCCGUACCGCAAACCGACACAGGUAGGUGAGGAGAGAAUCCUAAGGCCGGCGGAAGAAUUACAGUUAAGGAACUCGGCAAAUUGACCCCGUAAGUUCGCGAGAAGGGGUGCCUACGAGAGUAGGCCGCAGAGAAUAGGCCCAAGCAACUGUUUAGCAAAAACACAGGUCUCUGCUAAAGCGUAAGCUGAUGUAUAGGGGCUGACGCCUGCCCGGUGCUGGAAGGUUAAGGGGAACACUUAGCGCAAGCGAAGGUGUGAACUUAAGCCCCAGUAAACGGCGGCCGUAACUAUAACGGUCCUAAGGUAGCGAAAUUCCUUGUCAGGUAAGUUCUGACCCGCACGAAUGGCGUAAUGACUUGGGCACUGUCUCAACUGUAAAUCCGGCGAAGUUGUAGUGCGAGUGAAGAUGCUCGCUACCCGCGAUUGGACGGAAAGACCCCGUAGAGCUUUACUGUAGCUUAGCAUUGAGUUUUGGUAUUGUCUGUACAGGAUAGGUGGGAGACUAGGAAACCAGGGCGUCAGCCUUGGUGGAGUCAACCUUGGGAUACCACCCUGACAGUACUGAAAUUCUAACUGGCGGCCAUGAAUCUGGUCACAGGACAUUGUUAGGUGGGCAGUUUGACUGGGGCGGUCGCCUCCUAAAAAGUAACGGAGGCGCCCAAAGGUUCCCUCAGAACGGUCGGAAAUCGUUCGAAGAGUGCAAAGGCAGAAGGGAGCCUGACUGCGACACCCACAAGUGGAGCAGGGACGAAAGUCGGGCUUAGUGAUCCGGUGGUACCUCGUGGGAGGGCCAUCGCUCAACGGAUAAAAGCUACCUCGGGGAUAACAGGCUGAUCUCCCCCAAGAGUCCACAUCGACGGGGAGGUUUGGCACCUCGAUGUCGGCUCGUCGCAUCCUGGGGCUGAAGUAGGUCCCAAGGGUUGGGCUGUUCGCCCAUUAAAGCGGCACGCGAGCUGGGUUCAGAACGUCGUGAGACAGUUCGGUCCCUAUCCGUCGCGGGCGUAGGAAAUUUGAGAGGAGCUGUCCUUAGUACGAGAGGACCGGGAUGGACUGACCUCUGGUGUACCAGUUGUUCCGCCAGGAGCACAGCUGGGUAGCUAAGUCGGGAAUGGAUAAACGCUGAAAGCAUCUAAGCGUGAAGCCAACCUCAAGAUGAGAUUUCCCAUAGCGUAAGCUAGUAAGAUCCCUUGAAGAACACAAGGUUGAUAGGUCGGGGGUGUAAGCAUGGUAACAUGUUCAGCUGACCGAUACUAAUAGAUCGAGGGCUUGACCA
rnacentral:rRNA from 1 species